rnacentral:rRNA from 1 species
GAUGAACGCUGGCGGCGUGCCUAAUACAUGCAAGUCGAGCGAACAGACGAGGAGCUUGCUCCUCUGACGUUAGCGGCGGACGGGUGAGUAACACGUGGAUAACCUACCUAUAAGACUGGGAUAACUUCGGGAAACCGGAGCUAAUACCGGAUAAUAUAUUGAACCGCAUGGUUCAAUAGUGAAAGACGGUUUUGCUGUCACUUAUAGAUGGAUCCGCGCCGCAUUAUCUAGUUGGUAAGGUAACGGCUUACCAAGGCAACGAUGCGUAGCCGACCUGAGAGGGUGAUCGGCCACGCUGGAACUGAGACACGGUCCAGACUCCUACGGGAGGCAGCAGUAGGGAAUCUUCCGCAAUGGGCGAAAGCCUGACGGAGCAACGCCGCGUGAGUGAUGAAGGGCUUCGGAUCGUAAAACUCUGUUAUUAGGGAAGAACAAAUGUGUAAGUAACUAUGCACGUCUGGACGGUACCUAAGCAGAAAGCCACGGCUAACUACGU